CUGUGGUGCAAAAAGAAUAGCAUCCACGGAGCCACCACAAUCCGGGGCUUCUCCUCUUUUAACAAUCGCGUCGGCACAGAGAAAUAAUUAUUCCUUGUAUCAGUGUUAAAAGAGUCAACAAGCUUAAAAAAAGCUUGCUUGGUGAACCUCCUCCAGAGCAGAAAACGUUCCAGAGGAGUUGGGCCUAGCAAUAUGGCAGCGCACGUUCCAUAGGAAAUCCUGCAGAAUGCUGCUGCUGCUGAGCUCUGUUCCCAAGGAGGGCACAAUCCCUCUGCUCCCUGCCCCGCUCCAGCCUUGACCACUGCAGGGACAGAGUUUUCUCCACCCCAAAAUUCCAGCAGCAAAGCCAUCCCGGAUUUUCAAAGAUGCUGCAGCACGAAUUUUUUUGGCUGCUGAAAACUUUGGGGAAAAGCUGGACCCUUCUGAGCCCUCGAGCAGCGUGGUGUUAACAUUCCCAAAAAGCACCAUGGCAACCUCUCAGUGUUCUUGCCUUCGUGGUCAGCAAGCAGAAUCUCCAAAGACCUGACAGAAGAGCAGUGACUUCCAAGGCUGUUCUGCUCCAGCUUUUCAGGAAUUGCAGAAAUCCCAGCCAUGCACCCAGAAAUCCCAACCACACACCCAGAAAUCCCAGCCAGGCAUCCAGCAGCCAGGAAAGGACAAAGAGAAGGUAAAAUAGUCAUUUGUGCUGAGAUCUCUCUGUUAAAAAAUUCAGAGUAUUUUGUAGCAUAUC